UCCGGUUUGUCACCGGCAGUCUCAUUAGAGUGCCCAACUAAAUGCUGGCAACUAAGGAUAAGGGUUGCGCUCGUUAAGGGACUUAACCCGACAUCUCACGAUACGAGCUGACGACAGCCAUGCAGCACCUAAACUAGAAGUGUAUUGCUACAAGGGACUAUCUCUAAUCCUGUCUUCUAUUGUCUAACCCAGGUAAGGUUUUACGCGUUGCAUCGAAUUAAACCACAUGCUCCACCGCUUGUGCGGGCCCCCGUCAAUUCCUUUGAGUUUUAACCUUGCGGCCGUACUUCCCAGGCGGGGUACUUAAUGCGUUAGCUUCGACACUGUAGGGGUCAAUUCCCACAACAUCUAGUACCCAUCGUUUACGGCGUGGACUAC
rnacentral:misc_RNA from 1 species